AAACUAGGCUGCAGACCCUUUGACACAAGAUCAGAGAAGAUUUUUGCUGCAUCUUCAAGUUGCCCAGCCUCACACAAGCUGUCCAUAAGGAUAUUAUAAGUGACAGUAGUAGGCUUGAUACCUUUAUCGUCCAUAUCUUCAAGUAAUGCCACUGCUUCAUCAAGUUGUUUACUUUUACACAGGCCAUCAAGCAAUGAAUUAUAUGUGACAACAUCGGGAGUUUCUCCGUGAAAUUGCAUAUCUGUGAGCAACUGGCGUGCAAGUGUCAGUCUGUUGGCUUUACACAGGCCAUCAAUAAGAGUGUUAUAGGUUACAAGAUCUGGUGUUAUUCCUUUCUGAAACAUUUGUUCUUAGUUUGCUAAUUUGUGUUCUUAUACUCGUGUAGGCAAAGUGCUUAGAAACAGGGGAAACUGUGGCUAUAAAAAAGGUUCUUCAGGACAAGAGGUACAAAUAUCCGUUUCAGAUUUGGUUUUGCGUGAACAUAAUAAUAUAGCAUGAUUCAACUUUAAAAUUUGACCCGAUCUGAAGCUUUGUGACUUUGGAAGUGCAAAAGUUCUGAUAAAAGGCGAGCAUAAUAUAUCUUAUAUCUGCUUGCCAAAUGGUCGCUUUCUUCCCCCGUUGUUUAACUUGAAGCCUCAUGAGUUGAAAGGAGUGCCAGCAGAAACAGUUGUCCGAUUGAUCCCCGAGCAUGCAAGGAAGCAAUGUCCAUUUCUUGGAUUGUGAAAUCAAAUUUGAUGAGAUAAUGAAGAGCAGAGGGAAUCAUUAUUAUUAUGGAAGAUGUGGUUUCGUAGUCUGAGUAUCUGUUCCUUUUUACUCCUUUUAUAUAUUGUCUGGUGCCCCCUUCUGUGUUAGUAUCUUUUUUACCCCUUACACCCUAUGUUGUAAAAGCAGCUUUUAGAGAGAGAAAUGAACAAUUGCAAGUCCUGCACAAGACCUGAA